rnacentral:lncRNA from 1 species
AGGGUCAAAUAGAGCUAAACUGACCCUAAAUCAAAUCCAACUUAGACUCCAACAAUAAUCGAAGCCAAGACUCAUGGAUUAGACAUGAGUUCCAAAAUUUAGGAUUCUCCAGUUUGAUCAAGUAUAGAUCUCAUAAAAUUUAACUCAACUCCCUCAAACUCGAAUCAAUCAACUAGACCCAUAACCUUUAAGUGAAGAGUUACCUAAUCUAAUAGGAUUUAGGAUUUAGUAGUAUUAGAGAUUUAUAUCUCAAAAAAUUGGCUGGUGUUCAGAAACCCUUUCCCAUUUUGUUAUAAAAAUAAAUAAAUUAACGGAGAACCAAAUUGUUAAUGAAUCAAGCUAUGGCUCUUACCGGCAUCGGAUUUUCAUCCCAGAACAAAACGACUUAUGUUGCAUUCAAAAAUUUAUGCUCAGGGAGUCAUGAAUUUCUAGGGUAGAGCUACGUAGCUUUACUUAAAUUCAACCAUCUGAAGAGAUUUGCAUCUAAUUACACAUAUUUCCAUCCUCCACCGGGUUCGAGUUGUAUCUUACGCAUGAAAGAAUGACUGAUGUUCUUCACGACACCAUCGGUUGGAUCUCACCCCACACAGAUCUCAAAACACUCCAAACUCCCUCA